rnacentral:misc_RNA from 1 species
GAUGAAGAACGCAGCGAAAUGCGAUAAGUAGUGUGAAUUGCAGAAUUCAGUGAAUCAUCGAAUCUUUGAACGCACAUUGCGCCCCUUGGUAUCCCGAGGGGCAUGCCUGUUCGAGCGUCAUUACACCACUCAAGCCUGGCUUGGUGUUGGGCGACGUCCCCUUUGGGGACGCGCCUCGAAACGCUCGGCGGCGUGGCACCGGCUUUAAGCGUAGCAGAAUCUUUCGCUUUGGAAGUCGGGGCCCCGUCUGCCGGAAGACCUACUCGCAAGGUUGACCUCGGAUCAGGCAGGGAUACCCGCUGAACUUAAGCAUAUCAAUAAGCGGAGGA